ensembl:lncRNA
AUGGCUAUAUGGACACAUUGUUUGAUACUGUUAUGUUCCUGUUUUCUAGCUUCGAACACUACUCACUCAUUCCUCUUGACUCAGUCUCCAGGACUCACACUCGUCUCAGUCGGUGGUUCUGUAGAGUUAAGAUGUAUAUUUGAGCAGACCCUAAGGUACUGCUAUACCUCUGCUGCAUGGAAAAAGAUGAAUCUACGGACUGGAAAACUCACGACAGUGAAUAGUAGCUAUGAGAAUAAUGUCCUUCAGCCUGAUGAUAAAACCUGUGUUUUGACUCUCAAACACGUAACCAAGACAGAUUCAGGCUUGUAUUAUUGCAUGACCAGAUUUAAUGACAUGGCUGUCGUCGGCAAUGGGAGCAGGGUGAUCGUUAAAGAUCGAUCUGAACAAAAACUCUCCAUCUUAUACACACCACAUGAACCUGAUUCACCAUCAGUAUCACUGCAGUGUCUCGUGACUGGACUUGUCCCGUCUCAGGUGCGUGUGUUCUGGAUGAUUGGACAGAAUGUGUAUUCUGGAUGGACCGAGUCCGGCUGGACAGACAACACUGAUUCAGCCACAGAAUUCACUCGAGCUCAUCUCUCUGUUUCUGAAGAGGAGUGGAAAGAAGCCAGUAAAAUUCAGUGUUUUGCUGAAUAUGAUGGCAAGAACAUCUCCAAAACUCUGAACCGAAGCGGAGCUGAACCUGCAAUCAUCUCGUGGCUUGUGUACUCUGGCUGUGUGGCAGCGCUCCUGACCAUACUUCUAACUCUGAUUAUGUCUGUGGGAUUAUACAGAGGCUCAUGAGAAAAGAUGCCCACCGCAAAAUUUCAUAUGGUAAACAGAACACACUUCGAGAAGAGAGUCCAUCUGUUAUGGUAGGAGGCAGAAAUGAAGAUGAUGAACAUUGAAGUGAAUCACAAAAAAAAAAAAAAAAAACAGUUUCUGCUGUUUCAGAAGAAAUAUUAUUUAAAUAAUAAACAGAUUUUAAAUAUCUAUCAUACAAUAUGAACAUGGAUUGAUGUAGCAAUAUUUAAUUUAUUUACAAAAACUACAUGAUAAAUGCAAUCUACCAGUAUGUUUAAGCCAAAUAAUCUGUGCAUAUAUAAUAUGGGUAUGUUACAGUACUUUUAUUGGUGAUAUUGGUAAAGGUUUUAGCAUUUGAUCAGUACCUAAACAGAACUACCUAAAAAAGUUUUUUUUACAUUUAUUUAUUUACAAUUAUUUAAAAUGAUUUCCUAAAUCUUCUGAAGUUAUAUGAUAGUCCUGUGCGAGGAACAAAGUGAGACUGAAAAUCUUUGGGACUGUUCUCCUGUACAUUUUAAUUGAAUGCAGACAACCAUGUUCAAAUGUGUAGAAUAGAAAAUUAAAGAUUUUCAGUAAUGACGGCUUAAACUUUGGUCUGGUCCUCACAGUUUUUGUCUUGGACAUUUUGUAUCACUUUAAUUAAUUGUGUUAAAUUUUGUCCUCUUUGGAGCUUGACAGAGGAGGUCAUGAAUGUUGUGAAAUAAUAAUAAUAAUAAUAAUAAUAAUAAAAAUGUAGAUUCUUUAAAAGUGUUCCUUUUUAUUACAUGGCUCUCUGGAUCUCUUGAUUGUUGCAUUGAGCUGUCAAUAUUUGUCAUUAUUCAUAAUUCACUAUAUUUCUUAAUUGGCAAAUAAUAGAAAUAAUGGAGCAAACCAUUCCUUCAAGCAAACACACAACAGAUAAACAAAUCUUUAGAGUGUGAAAAAUUGCAAAUAUUUGAUCGGGGGAAAUAAUACUUUGCAAACUUUUAAUUAAACAAAUCUUUUGGUCAUUUCAUAUACUUCAGCUUGCAUUUUAUAAUGUAAAUAUUUUGUCCUGUGUUUCUCUGGGAUCUUAUCGGUCAUGGACAGGAUGUUGGUCCAUCAAGAGAAUAAAGGUAAUACAAAAGCAUAAUUUGUAAUGAUAUGAAUUACAUGAAACAGCAAAGUUCCCUUGCAAACUUAUAUAACUUGUAAAUACACUUGUUAGGAUCAUUUUUGCAUGGACUUGAGUUUUUCUUUCUUUGUUUUUCAGCGGGGAAGAGGAAAUGUUGGAGUAUGCUAAAACAUUUAAUUCCUGAAAUCAUAUAUAUUGUUAACUCAUAUAUCUUAAAAUAACACGAUUGCCUGUUCUGGUUUUAUUAUGUCCAUGUUAAUGAAUAUUUCUUAGGAACUGUUUCAUUUAUUUGUUUGUUUUUAUAAUUAUCUUCUUUUGUUGUUUUUUUUUUAUUGUCCUCUUGAAAAUUUGUUUAAUAAUGCUCCUCAUAAGCUACAUCAUAAAAGUAAAUGUUUCCUGAGCAGCAAAUCAGCUAGUACAAUUAUUUCUGAAAUCUCUGAAACAAUUUUAAUAUGAAAAUUUGGCAAUCGUUCAAAUACAUUUUAAUUUAAAAGUGAUAAUAAAGAAAAAACUUAAUUUUUAAAUUACAAUAAUAUUUAGUAUUAUUGUUUUUACAUCACAUAAAUUCACUAAAUGGUAGCAUUGUUAACUAUCAUGAGAUCUCUUUUCCUACAUUUCUGAUAUGUGCAGGACUGAACAGCAAAGCUACAGUUCAACUUUUCUUCCCUGGUGGCCCAUCAAAUUAAAAUUAAUCUUAAUGUUACUUUUCAUUUUACUUUUUUUUUUUUUUUUCCGAGAGGGUUAAAAACUCACAGUGAAUGAAACAGGAAAGUGUAUGGCCUCUUGCUGUAGUCUUCACACUCUCAUUUAACAGCUUGUGGUUAGACAGAAGCGGCAUAACAGGAUGUUAGAAGAGACAAAGGUCUCAUGAAACAGAGAUGCAAAACUACUUUCACUGUCCAUUGUUGCAGCGACUCCACUGGCAUUACUUAAGCCUUGAUAUAAAACUAUCUGAAUUUUGCCUAAUAUUGUCAUCUAAUGUUCUCCAUCCCUACAGUAUGUCAAUAUCCACACUGAGAGUUAUGAAAUACUCAGAUGAUCAAUUAAACUAGUCUGCACAUCUUUAUUAACAAAGCAUUCAAAAUAAAACAUUAUAUAGGCUAAUGAAAAAUAGGUUAGUGUUGACAUAUUGACACAUAACGUUGAAUUAGAGCAGAAUUGUGAACAGCUAUUACAUUGACUAGUUUUCCUCUUUUAUAUUAUGCAGAUUUACAGAUCUUAGAGUUUUCUGAAUUAAGAAAGUAACAUAAUUUUAGUAUUUCUAAUUGUAUGUUGUGUAUUAAAGGUGGAUUUUUUUAAAUUACUUAAAUUAAGAGUUUUGUGUGUCCUGUUUUGACAUGCAGUUAUAAUAUAUUUACUAUCUUGACCCUGGAAACAGAUGUUUCUGUCUGAGGUGCAGGUGGAGGAACAGUACUCUCAGUUUGAGAGUGAGGGUGUGGGUGUUGAGCAUUGGCCGUUCUUACACCAUGCUGCUCUUUUCAUCUCACACCCGUGUGGUUAGAUCUGAACAAGUGACUGCAAACAAAUUGUACAAAGAUUUUCAGAAAGCAGAGAGUUAAACGGCUAGAAGAACAGCUUCUUAACCUGUAGCGGAAAACACAAAGAAAUCCAUUAAAAUAAUAAUAAAUGUUUGUUCAAAUCCUUAAUACUGUGAGCAAUAUUUGCUAUUUUGCUGUUCUUGCCCUAUAGCAAACACCAUUAAUCAAUAAAUUGUAUUAAACUUAAUAAAUAGAUAAUUGUAUUCUCUAUGUAUGUUUUUUUUUUUCAUUUAUU